UACGUAGGGUGCAAGCGUUGUCCGGAAUUAUUGGGCGUAAAGAGCUCGUAGGCGGUGUGUCGCGUCGGCCGUGAAAACCUGCAGCUUAACUGUGGGCUUGCGGUCGAUACGGGCAUCACUGGAGUUCGGCAGGGGAGACUGGAAUUCCUGGUGUAGCGGUGAAAUGCGCAGAGACCGGGAAGAACACCAGUGGCGAAGGCGGCUACCUGGACAGGUACUGACGCUGAAGCGCGAAAGCUAGGGGAGCAAACAGG
rnacentral:rRNA from 1 species